GAUGGCACCCCCAGACCAGGUUGGCCCCAUCCAACCUGGCCAGCCAAUGAAGAGACAUGCACAUGCAAAGAUAACACGCAAAAACAAACCCUGGCUGAUAACAAUGUUUGAAAAUGUUGUCUUCAGAUUUGAACAAGAUGUUAAGCAAGAGUAACUUGUAAAUUGCUUCCAGCAACUUCGAGACAACAAGGGAACAACUAUCAACAGGCAUUACAGUCAUUUCUUCACACGAAAACAGUUAUGAGGCUGAAGGGAUCCUGACAGGCAGUUGGAAAGCAGUCCUUUUUAUGCUAAAUUUACUGUAUUUUAGUCCAAUUUUCCAUGAUCUAAAAUGUGCGAUGCAAUAAAGAGCUGGAAUGCUUUC